UACGGGGGGGGGCAAGCGUUUGUUCGGAAUUACUGGGCGUAAAGGGCUCGUAGGCGGCCAACUAAGUCAGACGUGAAAUCCCCAGGCUCAACCUGGGAACUGCGUCUGAUACUGGAUGGCUUGAAUUCGGGAGAGGGAUGCAGAAUUCCAGGUGUAGCGGUGAAAUGCGUAGAUAUCUGGAGGAACACCGGUGGCGAAGGCGGCCUGCUGGGCAAUUGCUGACACUGAGGCGCGACAGCGUGGGGAGCAAACAGG
rnacentral:rRNA from 1 species